rnacentral:rRNA from 1 species
UACGUAGGCAGCAAGCGUUGUUCGGAGUUACUGGGCGUAAAGGGUGUGUAGGCGGUUGUUUAAGUUUGGUGUGAAAUCUCCCGGCUCAACUGGGAGGGUGCGCCGAAUACUGAAUGACUAGAGUGCGGGAGAGGAAAGUGGAAUUCCCAGUGUAGCGGUGAAAUGCGUAGAUAUUGGGAGGAACACCAGUGGCGAAGGCGGCUCACUGGACCGGUACUGACGCUGAUGCGCGAAAGCGUGGGGAGCAAACGGG